UGGGGAAUAUUGCACAAUGGGCGCAAGCCUGAUCCAGCGACGCCGCGUGAGUGAUGAAGGCCUUCGGGUUGUAAAGCUCUGUUGAGGGAGAAGAAAACAGUUAGAACUAAUAUGUCUAGCUCUUGACGGUAUCCCUUUAGAAAGCACCGGCUAACUCUGUGCCAGCAGCCGCGGUAAUACAGAGGGGGCAAGCGUUGUUCGGAAUUACUGGGCGUAAAGGGCGCGUAGGCGGCCUGCUAAGUCGAACGUGAAAUCCCCGAGCUCAACUCGGGAACUGCGUCCGAUACUGACAGGCUUGAAUCCGGGAGAGGGAUGCGGAAUUCCAGGUGUAGCGGUGAAAUGCGUAGAUAUCUGGAGGAACACCGGUGGCGAAGGCGGCAUCCUGGACCGGCAUUGACGCUGAGGCGCGAAAGCUAGGGGAGCAAA
rnacentral:rRNA from 1 species